CUUUUCUUAAGGACUCUAGUCAUUGGAUCAGGGCCCACCCUAAUCUAGUAUGACCUCAUUUCAACUAAUUGCAUCUAUAAAAACCCCAUUUCCAAAUAAGUACAUUCGCAGGUUCCAGG